GAGCGGCGAACGGGUGAGUAACACGUGAGCAAUCUGCCCUUCACUUCGGGAUAAGCCUCGGAAACGGGGUCUAAUACCGGAUGCGACACUUUUACGCAUGUAAUGGGUGUGGAAAGUUUUUUCGGUGGGGGAUGUGCUCGCGGCCUAUCAGCCUGUUGGUGGGGUAAUGGCCUACCAAGGCUUCGACGGGUAGCCGGCCUGAGAGGGUGACCGGCCACACUGGGACUGAGACACGGCCCAGACUCCUACGGGAGGCAGCAGUGGGGAAUAUUGGACAAUGGGCGGAAGCCUGAUCCAGCAACGCCGCGUGAGGGAUGACGGCCUUCGGGUUGUAAACCUCUUUCAGCGGGGACGAAGCGCAAGUGACGGUACCCGCAGAAGAAGCACCGGCCAACUACGUGCCAGCAGCCGCGGUAAUACGUAGGGUGCGAGCGUUGUCCGGAAUUAUUGGGCGUAAAGGGCUCGUAGGCGGUUUGUCGCGUCGGGAGUGAAAACGCCGGGCUUAACUCGGUGCUUGCUUUCGAUACGGGCAGACUAGAGGCAUGCAGGGGAGAACGGAAUUCCUGGUGUAGCGGUGAAAUGCGCAGAUAUCAGGAGGAACACCGGUGGCGAAGGCGGUUCUCUGGGCAUGUCCUGACGCUGAGGAGCGAAAGUGUGGGGAGCGAACAGGAUUAGAUAACCUGGUAGUCCACACCGUAAACGUUGGGCGCU
rnacentral:rRNA from 1 species